UUGGGACGUAGGCAAGAGGUAAGCCACCGGUUUUUGGUACCGGCAUUUCGCAGGUUCGAAUCCUGCCGUCCCAGA
rnacentral:tRNA from 1 species